UGGGCGAUUGGUACGCCAAUCUGAUAUACGCUCGGCCCCGCCAAUUAGUCCUCUGCAUGAACGAGCGUUCGUUGUUGCUCGUUCUUGUUGCGGCACGAGAGGGAAAAUCCCUCCCGAUUCGAUUCCGUGAGUCCGUGCUCGCCUUGCUGCAUCGUAUCGGUGUUCCCUCUGGGUGCAUAGAGGGUGAGGCGCAGGCCAUGCGGGAGAUCGGCCUUGGUCCAACUGCAAAUCGACGGAUCGUGGGGUGUAUGCGCGAGGCUGCCUUUGCGCUAUCUUUUGAGUUUGAAUCCCGGCGUUUCCAGACUGUGGAGGCGAUCGAGGGCUAUUUCUGUGAGUACAUCUAUUCGACUA
rnacentral:misc_RNA from 1 species